UGGGAUUAGAUACCCCACUAUGCCUGGCCCUAAAUAUUGAUGUUCGACCCCCUACCUGAACAUCCGCCCGAGAACUACGAGCACAAACGCUUAAAACUUUAAGGACUUGGCGGUGCCCCAAACCCACCUAGAGGAGCCUGUUCUGUAAUCGAUGAUCCACGAUAUUACCUGACCAUUUCUCGCAAUAAGCAGCCUAUAUACCGCCGUCGCCAGCUCACCUUCCCUGACAGCCCAACAGUGAGCGCAAUAGCCCCAUCCCGCUAAUAAGACAGGUCAAGGUAUAGCCUAUGGAAUGGAAGCAAUGGGCUACAUUUUCUAGCAUAGAACAUAACGGCAAAGGGACAUGAAACUGUCCCUAGAAGGAGGAUUUAGCAGUAAAGUGGGACAAUCGAGCCCUCUUUAAGCCGGCUCUGGGGCACGUACAUACCGCCCGUCACCCUCCUCGCAAGCGACCAACACACCCUAUACCUAAUAAGCCAUUCAGCUAAAGAUGAGGUAAGUCGUAACAAGGUAAGUGUACCGGAAGGUGCACUUAGAUACCAGAUGUAGGUUUUCCAGAAGG
rnacentral:rRNA from 1 species